rnacentral:rRNA from 1 species
UCCUAGUACGAGAGGACCGGAGUGGACGCAUCACUGGUGUUCGGGUUGUCAUGCCAAUGGCACUGCCCGGUAGCUAAAUGCGGAAGAGAUAAGUGCUGAAAGCAUCUAAGCACGAAACUUGCCCCGAGAUGAGUUCUCCCUGAGACUUUAAGUCUCCUGAAGGAACGUUAAAGACGAUGACGUUGAUAGGCCGGGUGUGUAAGCGCAGCGAUGCGUUGAGCUAACCGGUACUAAUGAACCG